rnacentral:ncRNA from 1 species
UGUCUUCGGGGCGGGGUGCAAUUCCCCACUGGCGGUAAUCCGAUUUGUCGGAAAGCCCGCGACCGGCGCGUUUGCGCCGCUGAUCUGGUGUGAUUCCAGGGCCAACGGUAUAGUCCGGAUGGAAGAAGC